rnacentral:rRNA from 1 species
CAGUACCACGGUAAUACGUAGGUGGCAAGCGUUGUCCGGAAUUAUUGGGCGUAAAGGGCUCGCAGGCGGUUUCUUAAGUCUGAUGUGAAGGCCCCCGGCUCAACCGGGGAGGGUCAUUGGAAAUUGGGAAACUUGAGUGCAGAAGAGGAGAGUGGAAUUCCACGUGUAGCGGUGAAAUGCGUAGAGAUGUGGAGGAACACCAGUGGCGAAGGCGACUCUCUGGUCUGUAACUGACGCUGAGGAGCGAAAGCGUGGGGAGCGAACAGGAUUAGAUACCCCAGUAGUCCCUGUCUCUUAUACA